AGAGCGAACGCUGGCGGCAGGCCUAACACAUGCAAGUCGAGCGCCCGUAGCAAUACGGGAGCGGCAGACGGGAUAGUAACACGUGGGAACGCGCCCUUCGGUUCGGAAUAACUCAGGGAAACUUGAGCUAAUACCGAAUACGCCCUUACGGGGAAAGAUUUAUUGCCGAAGGAACGGCCCGCGUCCGAUUAGCUAGUUGGUGAGGUAAUGGCUCACCAAGGCUACGAUCGGUAGCUGGUCUGAGAGGAUGACCAGCAUCACUGGGACUGAGACACGGCCCAGACUCCUACGGGAGGCAGCAGUGGGGAAUAUUGGACAAUGGGCGCAAGCCUGAUCCAGCCAUGCCGCGUGGAUGAUGAAGGCCUUAGGGUUGUAAAGUCCUUUUAACGGGAAGAUAAUGACGGUACCGUAGAAUAAGCCCCGGCUAGCUUCGUGCCAGCAGCCGC
rnacentral:rRNA from 1 species